rnacentral:rRNA from 1 species
AUGGAAAAGGAUCGGGGAGAAGAGGGGAGGAACAGAAACAUCGUGGAGCCUGCGGGUUCAGGAAGAUACAUUGCUGAACCGGACAUACCCAACAUCCUCAGCGCUUGCAAGCUCUUGGAGUCUCUGCAUCUGACCCACUGCGACUCGGGGAAGAAUUCCAUGCUGCGGCUGGAACAUGCUCAGCUUACCGAGCUCGAGGUCGAGGUUGGGAAAUUUGAGACGGUUGAGCUGGCAUGUCUACCAAAACUCCAACAGGUGGGCUACAACAAUUGGUUCAACUCGCAUAAAGAUCCCCUGUGUUUUGGUUUUGUACCACAGCUUUCAAAGCUGUGGCUUGCUAAAACCGGCAGACGGUCGACUAGGACUCUUAAGUUAAGUCAGCUCCUUGGUAAUGUUCCUUCCGUGAGCGAUCUGCAUCUGGAUUUUCAAAGUGAAAAGAUUUGGGUUCUGCCAGAAAGCCCGAAGCUGCUCAAGCCUGUGCUUAGCAGACUACAGCACGUGAAUCUGGACAAUCUUCCGGAAGGAUGUGAUUUAGCUUGGACAAUGUUUAUUCUUGAAGCUGCACCGUCCCUAAAAGAGUUGUGCAUCACAGUACGGGAUCAUUGGUGCAAUAUGAUGAUGAGAGACAAAGAGUUUCGGGAGAGAAAUGGUUACUGUGAAAAGGCAGACAUGGAGUGGAAGCCACAUGCCCCUGACUUCAAGCACAAGAACCUGGUUAAGCUCACCAUCUACGGCUUCCAAGCAAACGACAUCUUUGUGCGGUUCAUCAGGUGUGUCAUGGAACAUGCGGUUAAUAUGGCAGAGAUAUCCCUGCACAACAGGAAGGUAUGUCUGCACUGUGGUGACUCGGAUCCCGAGAUGAAAUGCCCAUCGAGAUAUCCAUGGAAGGCUGAUGAGCGCAUGCAGAUCACUGGAGAUUUGGGGGUGUCUUUGCCUGCCAUGGUUCGCUUCCAGUCGUAA